CUAUAAAUAAACGAAUGCUUGCCUUCCAAUUUAAUGUAUUGACAGUAUCAGUUUGUUUCUUCUGGGAUCCCUAAACAAUGGCAUUGCUAUCUUUCAUCUUUCAAACUCAUUUUGCCCCAUUUUAAUUAUGAUUUGACUUUUUCUUAAAUUUUGCUGUUUUUUUUAGUAUGCUCUACACGUUGUGUUGGGAGCCCCCUUUGACUUUACAUCUCAUGACUUUCCAAAAAUCAGGAGAUGGUGGGCACUAAUUCUUUUGGAGAACUUUGGGGUUGUCCCAGAAAGGACAGAAAACCUCCAGAAGACACUAGAGCUACAUGAAGAAUAAGCUACACCCAGCAGAAGUGAGGAGCUCACUAUAAUCAAACACAUGAAACCGGCUGUAAAAUGGAUACAUGCCAAUAGACAUGUGUUCAGGGGCCCUGUGGAAGAGCCUCUGUUCCUCAGAAUGGAAGAGGAUGACAAGGAAAAGGCCCUCCAAAAUCUCAUCAAAGAUGCGGAAGACUGCAGAGACCCACUCACAUUACAUUUUUCAUUCAGGGAAGACAUGGAGAUUUUUUUAGUUGAAUGCCAUGAAAAAAUGGGAUUAAAAUUGAAUUCUUCUUUUGAAGAGUGAAAAGUGUAAGACUUUCAAAA